CAGGCUCCAGGCUCUGAGCCAUCAGCCCUGAGCCUGACGCGGGGCUCGAACUCACGGACCGCGAGAUUGUGACCUGGCUGAAGUCGGACGCUUAACCGACUGUGCCACCCAGGCGCCCCUUCAUUUCACUUUCAUGAGAACUUUUCAUGGCCACUAUGAGAUAAUAAUAUAUUUAAUUACCACAAAUAGAUCUACAUUUCCCAAGUGGUGAAGUAGAAAGAAAAAUGGGAUGAAGGUUGAUGACCCUAUGCCACAGCUCUGCACUGGCUUUAGGCCAACAACUUGGAACAAGUUCUUUUAAGUCUUUUAAACCUUGGUUUAAUUAUCUAAAAAAGAAGAGUGGACUAGAUAAACAUGGAAGUCACAUCUAGUUCUCAUAUUCUGUGAACAAUUUAUUUUUCAUUUCAUUUCAUUCAUGGAUUGGUCAUUGUCCAAGAAAGCAUGUUCAUAAAUGGUACCAUUACAGUAAGCCUGAUAUGUAUUCUAACAGUCUUAACCCAUCCUGAGCUUUUAACCAUCCAAUUGGUGGGAAAUUCAAUCUCAUCCAUUGGUAGAGUUCUUCACCUUCUCAGGUAUUACUAAAGGUCCUGGAAUGUUGUGGGAAGAGUUGGAUGAGGGUCCUUUAGACUGCUAUCUACACUGGUCUCCAAUAAACACACUGUCUAUUCCCACAUGGUCUCCUGAAGGUAGGCAGAGGACAUCUAUGCAUGGCUCCCAAGACCACACACUUGGACUUCACCAUCCUGGCAUUGUCCAGUCCCCUACCUGGGGUGAUACCUAUGAACCAGAAACCCUCCUAGAACCCCACCCCAUCUCUGAGUCUCAGGAAUCUUCUUCGCCCCUUGGAUUCCAUGGCUUUCUCCUGUUAAACUUCAAGCACUUACCUCUAUCACCCUCACUUUCUAUGUAAUUUUCACUGAGCUAAGGCUAUGCAAAAAAAAAAAAAAUCUUGAGAAGGAGUUGUGUUCUAUUGCCUGGCAACUGCUGCUUUCUCCAGUAACACAAAAGGCAUGUAGGAAAAUAAAUGAAAGAUCUGGCUUCAUCCUCAACUUGGGAAGAGGUAAAACAUCUAUAGCAGGAAAAACAAAUGACAAAUUACUGUCUCUAUAAAGUAGCCAGUCAUAUUAGUAAUGGGACAUAAUAUCUUAUGCUAAUAAGUUAUGAGACUUUAAAAUAGAAGUAGAAAACAGAACCACAGGCCAAGGAUCUUCUCACGUAUUUAACAUUGUUAGAGGACCUACUGUUAGCUAAUCGCUGGCCUACAUGCUAAAUUGUCCAUCCCUAAUGUGAUUAAUAAGGUGUUUGACCCCAACAACAGCCUUAUACAGGGCUGGUAGAAUGUGAAAGUAAAAACCUUCACAAGCUUUCCCUAAUAUCAUCUUCUAACAGUGUCAAUGUUUAAUACUUUCUAUUGUUUCAGCAGGGGGAGGUUAAUCUCUCCCAUUUCUCUUCCUUCUCCUAUCUCUUGAUUAUUGCAAAGAAAGCUGUCAUUCCCAACUGAGUUGUUUCUUUUCCCUUCCACAGAGCUACUCUGUUGACAAACACUGUAAUUGCUUUUCAUAGUUCAAGGCAGAGUGAAAAAUCACAAGUGACAAAUGAUCUAUGGCAAUAAAGCAGAGAGCACAGAUGCGCUCUCACAUUCCCCAGGAAAAAAGCUAAUCAUCCAACUUCAACAGAAAAAUACAAAUUCUCUCUACUGAUAAAAGUGACUUUUUCAGAUGAGUCAGAGAGGCUCAGCUGACAUGAGGAGAAACAUUGCUUGCAAGAUAAUUGCUAGGAUUGAGAUAACUUCUGCUCUGCAGUGUAUUCCCCACAUCUGAGCCGCUACAGACACCUUCGAACAGGAUUAGAAUAAAGUAGUAAUUACCACAUGGAUGUAGAGAAAUAGCCUACUAUAAAAAAUAUGAUCAAUAUACAUGUAGAAAAGUUCUGUAAAAGUCAAGGUAGAGUAUUCCCCUGACUAGUCUAGCUAGUAUUCCUAGCUAGAAUGGCAUUGUGUAAGGAAAGUAUUAAGAAAAUAUGAUUAUAAAAAGAAGAAUUUAUGAUAUUAGAAGAGUAUAAGACAGAGGCAAACAUUUUACUGGAUGUCAUUCAACCAAGAAAUCUUUUUAUAUGAAAAUUGGCAUUUCUUCUCCCUGAAUUCAGUCAUGGUCUCUAUUUUCCCAACUUCCUAUUCUCUUUCUGUCUCUUUCUUUCUGUGUUGUUCUAAUAUCGCUAGCAUUGAUUGUGUCUUCAUAGCCAGAGGAGUUUCUUGGUAAGUGAAGGCCAAAAUGUUAGUUUUCUCCUUCAAAACUCUCUAUAGAAACCCCACUGGAGCAGCAAUGAAUGUGUGCUACGUUUUGGUGCUUUGGACCAGGGCUCUCCAAUAGAAACAUAAUGCAAGCCACGAAUAAGUCCCACACAUGGGAUUUAAAAUUUUCUAAGAGCCACUUUAUAAAAAGGUAAAAAUAGACAUAAAAUUAAUUCUAAUAAAAUUUAUGUCACCUAGUGCACUGAAAAAAUCAUUUCAACACAUUAUUAAUUUUUAUGGAGAUAUUUUUCAGUUUUUUUUAAUAGUAAGUAUUUGAAAUCUGAUGUGUAUUUUACCCUUCUAGCACAUCUCCAUCUGGACUAGGUACAUGUCAAGUUUCAGAAGCUAUAUGUGGCUGGUGGCUACCAUAUGGGACAGUUAUACUUUCUACCAAUGACAAACUUUUUGAAGCAGAAAGAAUGUUGUGUGUGUGUGUGUGUGUGUGUGUGUGUGUGUGUGUGUGUGUUUUAAUUUGCAAGAUUCACUUUCAGGUUACGGUGAAGAAAUGAAAGUCAUCUUUUUUAUGUGCCUACAUCUUACUAUUUGUGUGUGUGUGCUGAAUUGAUCAAGGUUUUCUCUGAAAUAUUUUAUUUGUAGACUUGUCUUCACAGCAACACCCCAAAAUUUUCCAACACUAUCCUAUACUAAAUGAACUAUUUCUUCUUAUAAAAUGUCUGAAGAAGGAAUCUGACAACACCCUUUAAAACUACUGCAAGAUUGGGGAAAGGGCACCUUUUUAAAUUUUUAUUAAAUUUUUUAUCAAGUAAUUGUUUUUAAAACAAAAAUAAAUUAAGAUGAUAUAGAAGAGUAUAAAAUACAAUAAAAAAUGUCUUUCUACCCAUUUCUAAUCAUCAGAGACAAUCCUGUCAACAAUAUCUGGUUUUAGUUCUUCUAGUGACUAGCAUGAAUUUUAUGAACUUUACUUAUACCUAGAUUUUCUGAAUUUUCACAUCUUUCCCUGCUUUUAUAAUCCAUGGUGUCCUCUUUCUUGUAUUAUUUUUUUUUCAUUUUCUUUAAGUAAUUUUUUAAAGGACACUUGAGCACUAAGCUUUCUGAUUCUGAUAUGUCCAAGUACGUGUGUAUUUUACCCUCCCACUUACCUAUCAGUCAGCAAGGUAUACAUUUUCAGGUUGAAAAUCAUUUUCCCCCAGAAUGUGAAUGUAGUAUUCUGUUGUCUUCUUAACACACAGGCCUGCUGAUGAGAAGUCUGAUUGGUAUCAUUCUCACCCAAUGUAAAGCUGGAAGAAUCUGGACUGCCUUGCCAAUAUGAGGCCUGGAGCUCGCCUUUAGUGAGAGACACCUGGGAGCCUUGAUCAUUGGUCAGUGUAGCCAGGGCCAGACCUGGAAGAGGGCAAGUGUCUGGAGAGGCCAGGUCUCACGGGAGUGUGCUGUUGGGAGUACAAGGCCCAAACAGGAAUAAUAAAUUUACAAUGCAAUAAAAUAUUUGAAACAAUAACUUCCCUGAAAAGCCUGGGACAAGUCGUAAUCUUGCCAAGAAGUCAGUUAUCUCCUCUGUGCCCGGGCUUUAUUGACCUCAAUGGAGCAGACAUGACCAUUGCUCCAACACUGAGCAGGCUGCUGGUGAAUGGGGGUCCUUCAGUAACUGGAUGAUUUCAAGCGGGGUCCAGUCAUCCCCAUGAUCAGACUAUGGACCAGCUUUUCCAGGUGGCAUUUGUCUUCUCUCUCUGAUAAGCCAGCAGAAAACCAUGAAUGGCCCUUUCCCACAGCAUGUGAAUCCUCGGUACAGUGGACUAGGAAAUUAUCCAAGUUACUAAAACAGCCACUUUGUUCAUCUUCUUUUCCUUUCUACCCAGAUCAUCUCCCUGGCCUCUUGAGGGUGACAUUCAUGUGCAAAAUUACCUCCCUUGGUUUUCUGAAAGACUGACAGGAACAAAUGGAGAUGAGAAAAGCAUUUAUAAUGCUUUUAAUGCAAUGACGUUUCCAAACAUAAGACAUUAAG